CUAAUCUCACUACAGAUCUCGGACGACGCAGAGCGCCUUUGAUGGACGCUUGAGGAUAAAUGGUGAAGAACUGUCAGUAACGACGGGCGUCAAUCGAACUUCCGAAACGUACAGUUAACCAGAAUCGCAAAAUGUCUAUCUAUCGCCACCUCGGAAGACUGAUUUAAUUCCGUGACUUUUUGUUACGAACCGAACUACGCAUCUCUGAAUUAAAAAACUGACUGAUCUCAUGCUUCGUGAAUACUGAUAUUAACGAGUCUCGAUAGCAAUGCAAGACCGUCUUCAAGACACGAGAUCAUAUCUUAUGGAUCCGCGGACGUAUCUUGGGUGUUAAAUGCGGCUGAUAUCGAACGAUAGUGCUGCAGAAAAGUUUAUAAAAUAUGGAUGAACCGGAUACCUUAUAGCCAAGACGAUUAUGUGCAAUUGGCGGUAGUGAUUCGCAUAUCGGAUCGUACGUUUUCUAUCUAAGAAUAAGUAUGUGAGCUUCGACCUGGGUGAACACCAAGUUCUCGGAGUAAUGGAAGUAAAUGCUCUAUCUUAUACUCCUCCGUUCCGUACAGAAGAUGUCCUGAAUUUUUCUGAAGAUAUGCAAUAAAUACUUUGCAGAUGU